rnacentral:rRNA from 3 species
UUUGACGUUAGCGACAGAAGAAGCACCGGCUAACUCCGUGCCAGCAGCCGCGGUAAUACGGAGGGUGCGAGCGUUAAUCGGAAUUACUGGGCGUAAAGCGCAUGCAGGUGGUUUGUUAAGUCAGAUGUGAAAGCCCGGGGCUCAACCUCGGAAUAGCAUUUGAAACUGGCAGACUAGAGUACUGUAGAGGGGGGUAGAAUUUCAGGUGUAGCGGUGAAAUGCGUAGAGAUCUGAAGGAAUACCGGUGGCGAAGGCGGCCCCCUGGACAGAUACUGACACUCAGAUGCGAAAGCGUGGGGAGCAAACAGGAUUAGAUACCCUGGUAGUCCACGCCGUAAACGAUGUCUACUUGGAGGUUGUGGCCUUGAGCCGUGGCUUUCGGAGCUAACGCGUUAAGUAGACCGCCUGGGGAGUACGGUCGCAAGAUUAAAACUCAAAUGAAUUGACGGGGGCCCGCACAAGCGGUGGAGCAUGUGGUUUAAUUCGAUGCAACGCGAAGAACCUUACCUACUCUUGACAUCCAGAGAACUUUCCAGAGAUGGAUUGGUGCCUUCGGGAACUCUGAGACAGGUGCUGCAUGGCUGUCGUCAGCUCGUGUUGUGAAAUGUUGGGUUAAGUCCCGCAACGAGCGCAACCCUUAUCCUUGUUUGCCAGCGAGUAAUGUCGGGAACUCCAGGGAGACUGCCGGUGAUAAACCGGAGGAAGGUGGGGACGACGUCAAGUCAUCAUGGCCCUUACGAGUAGGGCUACACACGUGCUACAAUGGCGCAUACAGAGGGCGGCCAACUUGCGAAAGUGAGCGAAUCCCAAAAAGUGCGUCGUAGUCCGGAUUGGAGUCUGCAACUCGACUCCAUGAAGUCGGAAUCGCUAGUAAUCGUGGAUCAGAAUGCCACGGUGAAUACGUUCCCGGGCCUUGUACACACCGCCCGUCACACCAUGGGAGUGGGCUGCAAAAGAAGUAGGUAGUUUAACCUUCGGGGGGACGCUUACCACUUUGUGGUUCAUGACUGGGGUGAAGUCGUAACAAGGUAGCGCUAGGGGAACCUGGCGCUGGAUCACCUCCUUA